rnacentral:rRNA from 1 species
CAAUAAGCGGAGGAAAAGAAACUAACUAGGAUUCCCUUAGUAACGGCGAGUGAACCGGGAUGAGCUCAAAUUUGAAAUCUGGCGUCUUUCAGGCGUCCGAGUUGUAAUCUAUAGAGGCGUUUUCCGCGCCGGACCGCGUCCAAGUCUCUUGGAAUAGAGUAUCAAAGAGGGUGACAAUCCCGUACUUGACGCGACAACCGGUGCUCUGUGAUACGUUCUCAACGAGUCGAGUUGUUUGGGAAUGCAGCUCUAAAUGGGUGGUAAAUUCCAUCUAAGGCUAAAUAUUGGCGAGAGACCGAUAGCGAACAAGUACCGUGAGGGAAAGAUGAAAAGCACUUUGGAAAGAGAGUUAAACAGCACGUGAAAUUGUUAAAAGGGAAACGAUUGAAGUCAGUCGUGUGAAAGGUAUUCAGCCGUCUCUGGCGGUGUAUUUGCCUUUCACGGGUCAACAUCAGUUUAGUCCGGUAGAAAAAGGCUGGAGGAAGGUGGCACCCUCGGGUGUGUUAUAGCCUCCUGUCACAUGUGCCGGAUUAGACUGAGGAACGCAGCUUGCCGCAAGGCCGGGGUUCGCCCACGUACAAGCUUAGGAUGUUGACAUAAUGGCUUUAAACGACCCGUCUUGGAAACACGGACCA